rnacentral:rRNA from 1 species
UACGUAGGGUCCGAGCGUUGUCCGGAAUUACUGGGCGUAAAGAGCUCGUAGGUGGUUUGUCGCGUUGUUCGUGAAAACUCACAGCUCAACUGUGGGCGUGCGGGCGAUACGGGCAGACUGGAGUACUGCAGGGGAGACUGGAAUUCCUGGUGUAGCGGUGGAAUGCGCGGAUAUCAGGAGGAACACCGGUGGCGAAGGCGGGUCUCUGGGCAGUAACUGACGCUGAGGAGCGAAAGCGUGGGGAGCGAACAGG